rnacentral:lncRNA from 1 species
UGGGCCAAAAAGAAAAAAAGAUUAAUAUAAAGUAGUCUUAUGGGUUAAACAUUCUUUUCAGAAUUUUGACCCUAGAAUAUAAUACCUAGUUUUGUCCUGUUGCUUAUCCUCUAAGUAGAGUAUAUAGUACCGGUAAAGAAAUAAUAUGUCACACUGAAUAAAAUGAGUACUUUUCAGUAAUUCUCAGAAUAGGAAAUGUUUCCAAUGCAUAAUACUCCACCUGAUCCUUAAUAUUUUUUCUGUUGGUGACCUUGUGACCUGAUUGAUUCUAUAUAUUCUUCUGUUGAUGGUAGACAGAAGAAAACAGCUUGUUUUUCCAGGCAAGUCUAAACAUAAGCAGUCAAUUCCUCCUUAAUUUCUCUACCAGUUUCAUAUUGAUUUCCCCAGUGUGAGCAAUGUAAUGAAUGGAUUGUGUACUAGAUUUAACAUUUAAAAUUGUAA